CAUCAUUCUCGGGGCGGGGUGAAAUUCCCCACCGGCGGUGAAAGCCCGCGAGCGCCACAAAUGUGGGUCAGCAGACACCGGUGUAAUUCCGGGGCCGACGGUUAAAGUCCGGAUGAUAGAGAAUGGGA
rnacentral:ncRNA from 2 species